GAGGAAAAUUCAAACGGAAAGUCCCUAAUCAAAUGGUAAAAUCCAAAGCUCAAACACAUCAAACAAAUGGAUAACAACUGUCAUAUUCCUGACUUGGUAGACAUUUUGUAGAAAAUGGUAUAUUAAAUCUGGUUUUAUAGCUAGCAAAAUAUCUCACUUGUAUUACAGUCGCAUGAAACAAAUUGUGAACAAAACAAACAGACAUAAUAGGUAAAAAAUUCAAAAAUAGGGGUACAGCAGUCAACAUUGUGUUGUAAUCUUAAUCACUAUAAAAACAAACUAAUAUGUAACAAAGAAGCAUAAAAAGGAACACAGACAAAGCACAUCACCAAAAACGAAAGACAAAAACACAAAAAUCACCAAAAACGAAAGACAAAAAUAGAAAAAUCACAACAGCAC
rnacentral:lncRNA from 1 species